rnacentral:rRNA from 1 species
UGGGGAAUUUUGGACAAUGGGCGAAAGCCUGAUCCAGCAAUGCCGCGUGUGUGAAGAAGGCCUUCGGGUUGUAAAGCACUUUUGUCCGGAAAGAAAUCCUUGGCUCUAAUACAGUCGGGGGAUGACGGUACCGGAAGAAUAAGCACCGGCUAACUACGUGCCAGCAGCCGCGGUAAUACGUAGGGUGCAAGCGUUAAUCGGAAUUACUGGGCGUAAAGCGUGCGCAGGCGGUUUGCUAAGACCGAUGUGAAAUCCCCGGGCUCAACCUGGGAACUGCAUUGGUGACUGGCAGGCUAGAGUAUGGCAGAGGGGGGUAGAAUUCCACGUGUAGCAGUGAAAUGCGUAGAGAUGUGGAGGAAUACCGAUGGCGAAGGCAGCCCCCUGGGCCAAUACUGACGCUCAUGCACGAAAGCGUGGGGAGCAAACAGGAUUAGAUACCCUGGUAGUCCACGCCCUAAACGAUGUCAACUAGUUGUUGGGGACUUCAUUUCCUUAGUAACGUAGCUAACGCGUGAAGUUGACCGCCUGGGGAGUACGGUCGCAAGAUUAAACUC